UACGUAGGUGGCAAGCGUUGUCCGGAAUUAUUGGGCGUAAAGCGCGCGCAGGCGGUCCCUUAAGUCUGAUGUGAAAGCCCACGGCUCAACCGUGGAGGGUCAUUGGAAACUGGGGGACUUGAGUACAGAAGAGGAAAGCGGAAUUCCACGUGUAGCGGUGAAAUGCGUAGAGAUGUGGAGGAACACCAGUGGCGAAGGCGGCUUUCUGGUCUGUAACUGACGCUGAGGCGCGAAAGCGUGGGGAGCGAACAGG
rnacentral:rRNA from 1 species